GAGUUCUUUUAAGAACCUACCCACAACGAUUUCCUUCCAAAAAAGGUGCAACACUUAAAAAUCAGAGGAAGAUUUCUAGUAGAAAAGUUGUCCACAGAAAAAAAAACAUCUUUGAAAAUCCAUAAGCUUUUUUGCUCCACUUAGAAUCUAAAAGAGAAAGAUUUUUAAAAAUUAAGAAAACGCAAAUGUAGUAAGUUUGUUUGAUUAUAUAAAAUAAAUUAAAAAUACUAUCUACCAAUAAUUAGGUCACUUCUUAUUUUAACUUUGUGUUU